rnacentral:rRNA from 1 species
CCUACGGUGGGCAGCAGUGAGGAAUAUUGGUCAAUGGACGAGAGUCUGAACCAGCCAAGUAGCGUGAAGGAUGACUGCCCUAUGGGUUGUAAACUUCUUUUAUAAAGGAAUAAAACGAGGCACGUGUGCCUUUUUGCAUUUACUUUAUGAAUAAGGAUCGGCUAACGCCGUGCCAGCAGCCGCGGUAAUACGGAGGAUCCGAGCGUUAUCCGGAUUUAUUGGGUUUAAAGGGAGCGUAGAUGGGGUGUUAAGUCAGUUGUGAAAGUUUGCGGCUCAACCGUAAAAUUGCAAUUGAUACUGGCAGUCUUGAGUACAGUUGAGGUAGGCGGAAUUCGUGGUGUAGCGGUGAAAUGCUUAGAUAUCACGAAGAACCCCGAUUGCGAAGGCAGCUUACUAAACUGUGACUGACAUUGAUGCUCGAAAGUGUGGGUAUCAAACAGGAGUAGAUACCCUGGUAGUC